AGCCCCUUACAUUCUAUGUGGGCCUCUUUUGGACUUGAAGAUGGUGGAGGAGGUUUAGAAAGGAUGUUGUUCCCUUUCUUUUCCAAUUUCUUCUUGGAUGUUUUGGAUUUUAAGGAUUUGUAAUCUGUGGGAUUAAUAGUGAACCAAUGGAGCAAAGUUUGUUUAACAGCCACAACUACAAUAAUCAAGUGUCUCGAUGGUGAUGAUAAAUCAGAUAAUUCGAUUAUCCUGGAUGUUAAGGACGAUUGCCGAUUGACGAUAGGACGAUUGUCAAGACACAUUGCCCAUCUUUCUGGUCCGACAACCUGAUAGUGAUGAUAGCUCCUACUGUUAUGACACAGUUGAUGCAAUGGAGAACGCUAUCAUCGACACGGCUUGCCGCAGAUCAAACGAUGAGACGACAAUAAAAGUCAGUUACCAACAAGUGCUUGAAAUGUUGCAAAGAAAACGAUGAAAAAACAAACUCCAGUGCCUUAACCAAGGUGACAUCUUUCCUUAACAACAAAGUUGUCGAUGCAACUUUCUUCAAACCAACAUCGCAGUGAUGGAUUCUGACAAUGCCAUUGAUCCCAGAACCCGAUGAAACUACUCACGAGACGAACCAAUAUAACCGUAAUGUCCGACUUUUUGUGUCUUCAAACUUGAUUUUUUCCCAGAAAUGUAGAAGAAUAUGUAUUCGAACCGCACUGGAUUCCAGCGAUGCAGUGCAGUCAUUUGCCUAAAACGACAGAUGGUGUCGCAGUUGGCACACGGUAACAUGUAAGGCCUUAUCGACCACAUUCGCAUUUGGCAACGAAUGGGUUAGUACUUAGUUUUUUCAGAGCAUUCAAAGUGGAAGUAGUCAAGUGCAAAUACUUUUGACAGCACAAAAUUCAAAUCAUCGCAACACCAUGCUUCACUUGAAAAAUUAAUCGUACACUUCAAAAUUCAGCACCUCCUAACAUACCGAGAAAACUUUCUGCCUCAAAUCUCUGUGUCACUGUCCGCUGCCAAUGCUGUUUGGUUAUUUGUCUAGGUUCCUCUGUGGUUUAUCGGCGAUUGCAGCCAAUAACUGUGACCGCUCUACUUUUAUCAUCAUGUAUCACAGCUUUCAAAUAAGUCGUUUUAGGUUUUUAUUAUAUUUCAACUUCAACUGCUGAACUGCUGGUACAUAGGUCAUGAUCGAGUCACCACCACUUUCUGGCUAGCUUCAGCAUGCUGGCAAUUCCUUCACAAUUUGAUGCUGCCAUUAACAUUGUGGCAAUUGCUCAUGUAUAAUCGAGAUGACGUUAAUUCAUUACCCAGAGACAGAGUUACAUGUACAACCUAACCACUCUAGCCUGCUUACUACUGGCAAGUUUGUGGCUUCGCCAUAUCAAACUGCAAUUCGAUUGUGUUCCUCAUAAUCAGCUCAAAUUGCUCAUAUAAAAAUUGGCUCAUAUUGAUCAGUCGUUUGUUGUGAACAUAUCGACGUGUUUCCAAUACAUUUUCGUUGAUUUGGAAACCCUUACAAUGCGAUAGAGAGUGCCGUCUAACACUUGGAUGAAGUACUCAAACGCGCUUCUGGGAAUCUGGUAUCUCAAAUCAAUGUCAACAUGUUCAAUGGCUAAAGUUGUAUCGAGGCGGCUCCUGACGCAGCUGAUUCUAAAUCCAAAGAAUGCUGUCACCAUUUGCUCUUUAUAUCUUCCAAGGGCCGCAGUUACAACUAAAAGGUGGUCUGAUUCCCUAAACCAUGAAAUGUAAGAUAAGAACUGGAGAUCUGUAAAGUUGAUAAUGGAACUAAAUUCGGUUCUGGAGCCUGGGCGAGUAAAAUGUUUGCUUCUUCUA